AUACGGAGGGUGCAAGCGUUACUCGGAAUCACUGGGCGUAAAGCGCGCGCAGGCGGCUAUUUAAGUUGGAUGUGAAAGCCUACGGCUCAACCGUAGAACUGCACCCAAAACUAUUUAGCUAGAGUGUGGGAGAGGAAGAUGGAAUUAGUUGUGUAGGGGUAAAAUCCGUAGAGAUAACUAGGAAUACCAAAAGCGAAGGCAAUCUUCUGGAACACUACUGACGCUGAGGCGCGAAAGCGUGGGGAGCAAACAGGAUUAGAAACCCUAGUAGUCC
rnacentral:rRNA from 1 species